rnacentral:rRNA from 1 species
UACGAAGGGGGCUAGCGUUGCUCGGAAUCACUGGGCGUAAAGCGCACGUAGGCGGCUUCUUAAGUCAGGGGUGAAAUCCUGGAGCUCAACUCCAGAACUGCCUUUGAUACUGGCGAUCUUGAGUCCGGGAGAGGUGAGUGGAACUGCGAGUGUAGGGGUGAAAUUCGUAGAUAUUCGCAAGAACACCAGUGGCGAAGGCGGCUCACUGGCCCGGUACUGACGCUGAGGUGCGAAAGCGUGGGGAGCAAACAGG